GAUGAACGCUGGCGGCGUGCCUAAUACAUGCAAGUCGAGCGAACAGACGAGGAGCUUGCUCCUCUGACGUUAGCGGCGGACGGGUGAGUAACACGUGGAUAACCUACCUAUAAGACUGGGAUAACUUCGGGAAACCGGAGCUAAUACCGGAUAAUAUAUUGAACCGCAUGGUUCAAUAGUGAAAGACGGUUUUGCUGUCACUUAUAGAUGGAUCCGCGCCGCAUUAGCUAGUUGGUAAGGUAACGGCUUACCAAGGCAACGAUGCGUAGCCGACCUGAGAGGGUGAUCGGCCACACUGGAGCUGAGACACGGUCCAGACUCCUACGGAAGGCAGCAGUAGGGAAUCUUCCGCAAUGGGCGAAAGCCUGACGGAGCAACGCCGAGUCAGUGAUGAAGGUCUUCGGAUCGUAAAACUCUGUUAUUAGGGAAGAACAAAUGUGUAAGUAACUAUGCACGUCUUGACGGUACCUAAUCAGAAAGCCACGGCUAACUACGUG
rnacentral:rRNA from 1 species